UACGGAGGAUCCGAGCGUUAUCCGGAUUUAUUGGGUUUAAAGGGAGCGUAGGUGGAUUGUUAAGUCAGUUGUGAAAGUUUGCGGCUCAACCGUAAAAUUGCAGUUGAAACUGGCAGUCUUGAGUACAGUAGAGGUAGGCGGAAUUCGUGGUGUAGCGGUGAAAUGCUUAGAUAUCACGAAGAACUCCGAUUGCGAAGGCAGCUCACUGGACUGCAACUGACACUGAGGCUCGAAAGUGUGGGUAUCAAACAGG
rnacentral:rRNA from 1 species